rnacentral:rRNA from 1 species
AUUGAACGCUGGCGGCAUGCCUUACACAUGCAAGUCGAACGGUAACAGGUCUUCGGAUGCUGACGAGUGGCGAACGGGUGAGUAAUACAUCGGAACGUGCCCGAUCGUGGGGGAUAACGAAGCGAAAGCUUUGCUAAUACCGCAUACGAUCUACGGAUGAAAGCAGGGGACCGCAAGGCCUUGCGCGAACGGAGCGGCCGAUGGCAGAUUAGGUAGUUGGUGGGAUAAAAGCUUACCAAGCCGACGAUCUGUAGCUGGUCUGAGAGGACGACCAGCCACACUGGGACUGAGACACGGCCCAGACUCCUACGGGAGGCAGCAGUGGGGAAUUUUGGACAAUGGGCGAAAGCCUGAUCCAGUCAUGCCGCGUGCAGGAUGAAGGCCUUCGGGUUGUAAACUGCUUUUGUACGGAACGAAAAGACUCUGGUUAAUACCUGGGGUGCAUGACGGUACCGUAAGAAUAAGCACCGGCUAACUACGUG